rnacentral:rRNA from 1 species
AUUAGAUACCCUGGUAGUCCAUGCCGUAAACGAUGAUCAUUAGUUGGCAGAGAUACUGUUGACGCAGCUGACGCAUUAAAUGAUCCGCCUGAGUAGUAUGCUCGCAAGAGUAAAACUUAAAGGAAUUGACGGGGACCCGCACAAGCGGUGGAGCAUGUGGUUUAAUUUGAAGAUACGCGGAGAACCUUACCCACUCUUGACAUCCUUCGCAAAGCUAUAGAGAUGUAGUGGAGGUUAACGGAGUGACAGAUGGUGCAUGGUUGUCGUCAGCUCGUGUCGA